rnacentral:tRNA from 1 species
AAGCCCCGGGACUCGCCUGAGUCCUUCUUCAAACUUGCAUUUUGAUGUGGAAAACACCUCGAGACU